AAAUGAUCAGUCCACCUCAGACUCCCAAAGUGCUGGGAUUACAGGCAUGAGCCACUGUGCCUGGCCAAAUCAAGUACUUCUGAUGAAAAGUUAGCAUCCAAAUGGAGAUAUGUGUAAGCAGAAAAUACACACCAGAUGUCAAAGAUAGAGGAACAAAAAAAAAAAAAUACAAAAUAUCUCACUCAUGAUUCGUUACAUUGAUUACACACUGAUGGAACAUUUGUGAUAAAUUGGGCUAAAAUGCAUUAUUAAAAUUAAUUUCACUUGUGUCUCUUUCCUUUUUUUAAUGGGGCUAUAAGAAAAUUUAAAAUUACAUACAUGGGGAAAAAAGCUAAAGUUGCCAUUUUUUCCCUUUACCUUCAUUUAUCUGUUUGUCUAAUAGUCACUGAAGAACAUAUCUUUUUAAAGAAGUACGUGUGUGACUUACAUUAUACUUCUAUCUGCAGUGCUGGUUCAGAACACCAUGACAUUUGACCAAAGGACUCAGCAGAGGGAAGGCUGCCCAGGCCCCAAGCUCACCAUGAAGGAUACAGCCACACCCUUGGUUCAUUCUCGCACGAAUUUCAGACCUCCCACCUAUGUUGAAGACUCUGGCUACUGGCCACAUGCUCACCGACACCGUUCCACGGCAAAAGCCCAGCACAUCUCAGGGGUUUCCUGGGAGGCCGGAUGAAUCUGCCUUACAAAACCGCCUCCUGGGACCACCUUCCCAUGGACAGCUGGAUACCACCUGCUUGACUUGUCCCACUGACCCCCACACCCACAUGGACCAUGCCGAUAUCCUACCCACACCGACCCCUCUCAGUCACAGCGUGAGUCCCCGGGGCUCAUGCCUGCUUGCUCUAAACCCCCCAGUUAGAACCUCCAGGGGAAACCUGCAUAGAUGACACCCUGGGCCCCAGUGAAGGCUUUGGCUCAUAGCUCCCUCUCUCUCUCGUUCUCCACCUUCUGGUUGAGCCCAUGUGUCCUGAAUGGCUCCCCCUUUUUGCUGGCCCUGUGAAGCGUGCUGCCCUCUGUUCUCUGGAUCUGUAAGCAAUAAACUGCUUCUGUCAUUUCUUGGGUUCUGAUGAGUUGCCUCCUCUACCCCAUCCUAACUUCUUUCCCGGUCAGGGCUCUCCGGGAGAGUGGCUGUCUCAGUAGGAAUAAACUGGACACAGGUCAGAUGAGAGCCACAAGGUCAUGUGCCAGGAUAAACAAGCUUCCUGCGAGAGGGACACCUGGCCACAGGUUGGACACUCAGGAAUCAGGCCGUCUGUGAGGUCAAAGAAGGAUCCCAUGAAAGGCACAUGGGAAACACCCACGACCACAUCCCCAGGAUCCCCGUCAGGGCAGGGCUAGAGUUUACAGCCACUCUCUCCUGAGAAGGACGUCAAGACAAAAUUAGGAAAAAAACUACAACAUCAAGUCACUUGCCCAAAGUCACAUGUACGCACCCCGUAGGUGCAGGUGCAGAGUUUCUCACCGGCUCUCCCCUUUACGCCACCACCAGAAACACAGGAGAUAUUUCUGAGGUAGCCUCAGGCCCUGGGACCCAAAAAUGCCAGUGCUUGGAAAUCCACUGCUUAGGAGACAACAGCUGGGUGACAACUCUAGCCCACCGUUCUCUGCUAUCUUUUUAAAAAAGCUGCAAAUUCAAAAAUUCAAAAAAUUAGUUUAUUAGCUUAAUA
rnacentral:lncRNA from 10 species